rnacentral:lncRNA from 1 species
GGUAAGAUGUACGCAGUCCAUACCUCUACCUCUAAAGAAGUAGAAAGGCUGUUUCCGAUAGAUCCCCGACUCGAGACACAGAAUACUACACAAAUACAUAGUAAAGCAUGGAACAAGAUGGCAUAACAUAAAUAUGACACCCACAAGUAAUAGAAAACAGAGAAAAGUAAACAGAUUCGUAAUAAAGCAUGAAACAAGGUAUCAUAACAAGAAUAAUACCCCCACCAAGUAAUCUCCCCAGUACUUCUUUGGCCUACCCCUACCCCGCCUAAAACCAUCCAAAGCUAGCCUCUCACACCUACGAACCGGGGCAUCCAUGCCCCUCCUCAUCACGUGUCCGAACCAUCUCAAUCGGACUUUCCACAUCUUAUUUUCCACUGGAGUCACACCAACCUUCUCUUUGAUAGUCUCAUUCCGAACUCUAUCCCCCCUAGUCAGCCCACACAUCCAACGCAACAUCCGCAUUUCCGCCACCUUUAUCUUUUGAAUGUGGGAGUUCUUAAGUGGCCAACACUCCGCUCCAUACAACACGGCCGGACGGACUGCCAUCCUGUAGAAUUUGCCUUUAAGCUUGGGCGGCACCUUCUUAUCACACAAAAUCCCCGAAGCGAGCUUCCACUUCGUCCAUCUCGCCCCAAUACGGUGCGAGACAUCCUCGUCAAUCUCACCGUUACCUUGAAUCACGAACCCGAGAUACUUGAAACUAUCCCUCUUACAUACCACCUGUGAUUCCAACUUCACUACCACCUCAUACAUCAUCUGCAAAAAGCAUACACCAAGGUACCUCUCCUUGAAUACGCUGCGUCAACACAUUCAUCACCAAAGCAAACAAAAAAGGACUGAGUAGAUCCCUGAUGCAAUCCUGUCAAGAUAGUGAAAUGCUCUGAGUCUCCUCCUACCGUCCUCACCUGAGUUUUAGCUCUAUCAUACAUUAAUAACAUAAACUCAUGAACAGAAAAGAUUAAUUUUCAUCUUUUGGUCUAUCAUUCACAUCAAACAACAGAAAAAGCAUUGAAUAAAAAAAGUUAACCUAAAAAUUUUAGUUUGAUGUUUGGAGAAGCAUAAGCAGUAAACUUUUUUUGUGGUGUAAGAAGUGCAGGAACUAGGAAGGGAGGAAAUAAAUUGAUUUGAGGUGUGAAUAGGUGUCAUUUUAUUUGAGACGUUUGCAGGACACUCUAUGACUAUAAGUAAGACCUUUGUUAGUCUUGCUAAUUUAAUGAUUUUGUAACCUUUUUCGGAUUGAACUCUUGUAAAUACUAUAAUAGAAUGCAGAUAGAUUGUACUGGAAAGGGUUUGAAUAAAUCGAAUUGGAUUGUGUGGAUUCAUAUGACCAACUAGUUUGAGAUUGAGGACAUAGUAGUAAUUCUUGUGGUAGUAUUGAGUGAUUGAGAAUUGAUGUAUUAGUAGCUAACGUAAAAGGUGUUUUUUUUUUCGUGUGUGGGGGUGGGGUAGGGGGCUUAGGACUAUGAUUUGUGGAAAGAGCCUGUGUGAUGAGUAGGCUAGGCCCAUGUUAGAGGUUCAAGUCAUGCCGAAUUAGCAUUGUAGAGAGGUGUGCCCAUUGUCUAUUGAGUUCCGAACGUGUGCCCAAAGGUCCUCAGGAAUUUAUCGAUUAUCAAGUACAUAUAUGUGUGUAGGAGGGGGGAGGGUGGGGUUAGGGAUUUGGUCUAGUGGAAAGAGCACAACAUGUGAUGAGUGAGCUAGGCUCAUGUUACAGAUUUGAAUGAAUUAGCUUGGUAGAGAGGUGUGCCUGUUGUUUAUCAUGUUCUGAACGUGUGCCCAUGGGUCCUUGGGAACUUUUUGAUUAUCAAAUUUAUAUAUGUGUGUAUAUUUAAUGCUCAAGAGAAGGUAGGUGCUGAAGUUCACCCAAAAACAUGGAAAGCCAACAAUUUAUAGAUUAUUGUUUCCACCAACAACAACGAUAACAUACCUCGUGUGGUCCCACAAGUAGAGUCUUCGGAAGGUGGGGUGUACGUAGACCUUACCCCUUGCUUUGUGAGGUAGAGAGGAGGCUGUCUCUAAUAGACCCUCGACUUAUCUAUUGUUAUCAUCCUAAAAAAAGAACUUCAAGACUUCUAAGGAAAUUUUAGAAGUCUUUAGAUUUGUGAAGAGAAGUCCUAGAAAUGCUGAGCUUACAAUAACGUAAAGGGUCAUUUGGUUUAAAGACAAGCUAUGCAAAGAUUUGUAAUGUUACUUAUUGUUGGUGGGAGGUAGCAUGUAUAUAGAGGUUAAGGUGCAAGAAAGCUAGCCCCAACACCACGUUAUUAAAAAAGAGAGAUUGUAAUGUAAGCUCUAGUAUUGCUGGAUUAGUUCUUGUUGAAUGUUUAGUUUGAUAUGUUACAUAUUAAUAUGUAAUGUAUAAUUUAAAACACAAUAAAUUUUCUUUCUAUUAUGAGGUUAGUUGUACCAUUUUAGCAUUUCUAAUCCAUGUAUUACUGCUACUCACGUUCUUAUUCCACAUUAUCUCCCGGUUAAGAUAAUUUAUAGAUUUCCACAUAACCAAUGCAUGUACUAUUUAUGAGGAAAACAAAAAGGAACGACCAAACAUUGUAUUAGUUAAUGUUGAUUUAUAUGUGGAGAUUAAAUCUCACCAAAUCACAACCAAACAUUGUGUAAAUUUAUGUUGAUUUUUAUGUGGGGAUUAUAUCUCCUAAACAUAAACCAAUUGACCCCUUGAACAUUUAAAAGAUAGUAGCAUAUUUGCAAAGCAUGUUGAGCAUGAGUUAUGUAGAUUUGUAUUUGUUCCCUAUUUUUGUCUUGGUUGAGCUACGCUAGAGACUACGUAGUAGAUUCUCAGUCUAAGUAUCAAGUCAAUAUUCAGUUGUUAGGGUCCACCUCACGAGAAACGUUCUCGGUAAGUUGUUUUCUUCUACAUUGUCAUUAAGGCUGCUGCUACCUCUCUUUGCUUUUCAUAUUUGUUGUCAGGUAAUUUGAACUUAUUUAAAUCAUAUCCAAUUGAAUACCUUUUCGUAUUAACCUACUAGCCCAACCAUUUAUGUAUCUGCGAGUCUUAGUUAUCUAAUGGCUACCUAUCUUGCUCCUUAAAUAUGAGGAUACCCUUUUUGCUAUGGUUGAAAACUUUUGGGCUCCUAUAUUCCUCGAGGUAUUAAAUCUCAUCAAAUCACAACCAAGCAUUGUGUAAAUUUAUGUUGAUUUUUAUGUGGGGAUUAUAUCUCCUAAACUUAAACCAAUUGGCCCCUUGAACAGUUAAAAGGAUAGUAGCAUAUUUGCAAAGCAUGUUGAGCAUGAGUUGUGUAGAUUUAUAUUUAUCCCCCAUUUUUGUCUUGGUUGAGCUACGCUAGACACUACGUAGUAAGAAUUGUUCAAGUCUCAGUCUAAGUAUCAAGUCAAUAUUCAGUUAGAGUCCACGUUACGAAAAACGUUCUCGGUGAGUUGUUUUCUUCUACGUUGUCAUUAAGGCUGUUGCUACCUCUCUUUGCUUUUCAUAUUUGUUGUCAGGUUAUUUUAACUUAUUUAAAUCUGAUGCACAAUUGCUAAUCGAAUGGCAACAACAACAACAACAACAAACCCAGUGUAUUCCCACCUAGUGGGGUCUGGGGGGGUAAGAUGUACGCAGUCCAUACAUACCUCUACCUCUGAAGAAGUAGAAAGGCUGUUUCCGAUAGACCCCCGGCUCAGGGCACGAGAUACCACACAAACACAUAGUAAAGCACAGCACAAGAUUACAUAACAUAAAUACGGCACCCAUAAGUAAUAUAAAACAGAGGAAAACACACAAAUUCGUAAUAAAACCUGGAACACGGACUCAUAACAGGAAUAAAACCCCCACCA